UGGGGUGUCGACAAGCGGUAAGUCACGGGAUUUUGGAUCCCGCAAUCGGAGGUUCGAAUCCUCCCACCCCAG
rnacentral:tRNA from 1 species